rnacentral:lncRNA from 1 species
UUUUUCUAUAUUCAAUUUUUUAUUUCUCUUUUGCAUCUGUUAUCUUGAAAACUUUAUUUACAUUUAUAUUAAAACUUUCUAUCACAUAUAAUCACUACAACAGAAUUAGGUUAUAGGAACACAUAUUUGGGACACUUUGAGUAAGUGUCUCAUUUAUCCUAAAACUUAAAAAAACAUCUACUAAUGCCUAAAUAUAAAGCCCAAUCAAACUAAAAAUAAAAUAUUACUCUACUCAACCCACCACACCUAGUCCAUUUCGCCCGAUUACAAACAGUAAAAAAAAAAAAAAAUCAAUUACCAUCUUUUCUUCUCUCUUCACUCAAUCCACUGAAAUUCUAGACGAAGAGCCUUUCCUGUCGUCCUCCUCCACCACCACAGCCAACGAGAUAGAGUUUCGGCGGUUGCUAAAUGCUUAAAUAAGUGUUGAUAAAUUAGCAGCACUCUUUUAGUUUAUAACGACACUCUUUAACUGUCGCUAUAUACCUAGCGACCCCAUAUAUAGCAACAUUUUUUAAAAGUGUCGGUAAUUUUAGCUAGAAGCACUUUUUUGACAUGUACCUACAUUUAAAAGUGUUGCUAUAGACCGUUUUUGUUGUAGUGAAUGUAAAGACAAACAAUUUAGACCUCAUAUAUAAUAUAUACACAUACACUUAAUCCAUAAAAUUACAAUUCAUGAAAUGCACAAAUUUCAUACUAGUAUAUAUAAGUAUUACUAUAUACCAGAUAUAGCUAGCCCUAAUUCAUACAGCAUAUAAUAUAAUUCAUAAUAAGAAUAUACGUGAGGAUGAGGAUCGUGUACACCGCAUGUUGACAUGCCUGGGCAUUCUCUUUCAUACCGUGCGAUUUAUUUUUGUUUGUUCAUUCUAAAGAGGCCAAGCAUGCCGUUGGAGAUCACAUUACUUUCUAAUUAAAUGGACUUAUUCCCAGAUUUGAUAUAUGAGUAAAUUUUGUUACAUAUUGUUGACAACGAAUUUUGUUCAUAAGAUAUGGACAUAUUCGGAGAAGGGAUGUGGGCGAUAGCCGAAUGGAGGUUUCGCUUGAGUAAGAGGGGGCAUAACAAAAGCCAUUUUGAUAAAAAGCUUCAGAGAGGCCUGCAGACAAACCAUUUAAAAUUUAAAUAGAAAAUGUUGAAGAAUUUGAAAAUAGCUGCAACAACAGAGAUGAUUUCAGACAGAGAGAGCGUAACUAUCUCGUGCAAAUCGCUCGGAUGAAUUACAGCUAUGUCAAGCCGGAGUUUAAUAUUGACAACUGGCUACGUAAGGAGGCAUCGAUCGAAACAUAUCCAAUUUUAUCCAUAUUCUCUACUAGUACUAGAUGUAGGCACUACAACAGAAUUAGGUUAUAGGAACACAUGUUUGGGACACUUUUCAGUAAGUGUCCCAUUUAUGCUAAAACUUAAAAAAACAUCUACUAAUGCCUAAAUAUAAAGCCCAAUCCAACCAAAAAUAAAAGAUUACUCUACUCAACCCACCACACCCAGUCCAUUUGGCCCGAUUACAAACAAAAAAGAAAAAAAAAAAGAAAAAUCAAUUACCAUAUUUUCUUCUCUCUUUACUCAAUCUACUGAAAUUCUAGACGAAGAGCCAUUCCUGUCGUCCUCCUCCGCCACCGCAGCCAACGAGAUAGAGUUUCGGCGGUUGUUAAAUUCUUAAAUAAGUUGUUGGUAAAUUAGCAGCACUCUUUUAGAUUAUAGCAACACUCUUUAACUGUCACUAUAUACCUAGCGACCCCACAUAUAGCAACAUUUUUUAAAAGUGUCGGUAAUUUUAGCUAGCAGCACUUUUUUGACAUGUACCUAUAUUUAAAAGUGUCGCUAUAGACCAUUUUUGUUGUAGUGAGGCAUUAUCACUGAGCAAUGGUAACGUAUAGUUCCUCUAUC